rnacentral:lncRNA from 1 species
GUAUUGGCUUUCAUGGAGACUUCUCCAACCUCCUUCUUGGCCUUCUCUCUUGCUCUUUUGAGCAUCUUAACUUUGAUCUCAGACUUCUUCAUCUUUUUGGCCAGCUCAUGGGAGCUUUCAAUGUAUCCAUUCAGGUAAUGGACAAGUUGGUAAGUGAAGAAAAAUUCAUAAGUGAUAAAUGAGCAUACAGUAAGUGCUAAAUGGGAAAG